rnacentral:lncRNA from 1 species
AGCUAUAUAUAUUAAUUGUUUAACAAAUCUACUAAUUAAUUAACUGAAAAAACCCUUACAUGUUAUAAACAGGGGAUACAAAGAGAUAGGAAGCUAGAGUGGAAAGAAUAAGGAAGAAGAACUGGACAUAUAUAUCUAUAUAUAUAUAUCUGAUAAUAAGAUAGAGAAAGAGAAAGAAAAUAAGAAGGAAGAAAUCGAAAAUGGCAUGAAUGGAUUGUGUACACUAGGCGUAGGAAGGGGCACAAGCUAUGCAAGCAAGAAAGAGAAUGGCAGAAGAAGCACCAUCCUCUUCCAGAUUGGAGCUGCUCCUCUUGAACUUGCCAGCUUUUCCUUUGUUGCACUGAAUCUGUUUCUGGAGCUGCUGUUGCUGGUUCUGCCCUUGUUGCUGCAUUUGCUUGUUCCUCUUCAUUGCUUCUUCCACUUUAGACACCAUACUUUUCUCUUCAGUUAUGUCAAAGCAAACUUGAAUUAAUAAAAAAUAAGGAGGCACCUCCCCCUUUUAUAGACUUUUCUGGAACCAAAAUGCCCUUGGUAAGUUUUCACUCACCCAUCAGUUACCUCAACUGGUAUAACAUUAGGGGGCCCUUUACCUUAUAAAAAUCAGACACCCCAACCAAGAAAUGUGUUUUCCAUCUACGUAUAUACCCAACUUGUAAACUUUCGUUAAACUGUUUCACAACAUUUUUUUGAAUAAUUUUUUAUAAUAGAAUACGUGUCAUCAUUUUAUUAGUCUCUUUAAAUUUAUGUUUAAAAUAAUAUUUAAAACAGACUAAUCAUAAAUCACGUUAUCAAAAAAUGGUUUAAUACCGUUGUUGGUCCCUAGUUUGGGAGAUUUUGUUCAAUAUGGUCCUAUCUUUUUUUAGUAACAAUCGAUCCUACAUUUUGAAAAAAGUGUUUAAUUGACUCCUUUUUUGUUACGACGUCAAUUUUCUAACGGUGCUGGUUACGACGUCAAUAAGUUCUUUUAUGCAUUCACCUACCCAAAUGUUAUGCUAAAAAUCAUGUCAUCAUCGUAUACAAUAAAGACUAUAAUAAACAAUUUAAACUUGAAUAUGGGACCACUAUGAACAAAAAGGACUCAAUUGAACAGUUUUUUCAAAAGAUGGAAUCAAUUGUUAUGAAAAACAAAAGGUAGGACCAUAUUAAACAAACUCUCUCAAACUAGAGACCAAAAGCGAUAUUAAGUCUCAAAAAAUUAUUAAAAGAAUAUUGUUAAAAGCACUUUUUUUUCCAUUCAUAUAUAACAACCACACGUCGAUCUAUAUAUAUUAUAUCAUUUUCACUGUUAUGCCAAUUUUUGACGGUAAAUUUCCUAAUCUACAUUGCUUGUUGCCUUCCAUGUCUGCCUAAUUGAGGGAAAAAAAAGGACACCUUAGCUGAAAGAAAUUAUUCAGAAAACAAACAUUAUAGGUGUAGAAUGAUUGCAUAAUUACAAAUUACGAUGAAUGGGAUUACGUGCAAUUCCCAGACUAGAACUUAAACCGGGCUUGUCUUUAUCGUAGUAGCCAUCAUAAUUGAAACAGCAUGUGCGUAACUCUUUUAAUUUGGAGCAUCAUCAUUGAUCAUCCUCUUUCGAUGUCGGAUUAUUGAUGAUUUAGAAUCAAAUUAACAAUAAGAACGAUGUUUUAGAUGAUAAUUGAAACCAAUGAUUAAAUGCAAAAGCUCAUACGAAGUUGUCAUGGAAAAAAGAAAACAUGCGGCAAAAAUUCUAUCACUUGAAUGUUCCAAUUAUAAAGGAUGGACAUGAAAGAGUUGUUUCUUAUGAUUUGAGAGUAUCUAUAAUUUCAAUUUAAUAUCUAAGUGAUUUCUGUCCUGAUUUAAGGAUAAAGUUAGGUCUGAGUUGGAUUCUGGGAGAAAAUAAUUUUUUAUUAGUUUGUAUAAUUUCUUAAGCAUAUUUUGAAUGAAGAUAUUGAAAUUGUUUAAAGUUGAGUUUUUGAGGAGUAUGGUUGUUGCGAAAUCAUGUGCGAAAGCAUGUGAGCAUGUGGGGGAGUUCUUGUCCUGUUGUACUCUGAUCCACUUCCUUUGGGCCCAAUGGUUUUCUUUUGUAACUAAUAAUAACAACAACAAUAACUAGUAUGCGGAUUUUGUUAUGGCCCACUUCUAUUUUAGUCGCCUAAUAACACAAAAUAAUCAUUAAUAGCCAUACAUUAAACCUUGUCUGUGAUGACACAACAUUUUACGUAUCUCUGCCUUGGUUCAUGAAUUUACCACUAUAACUAUAACAUCUCCUCUUCAUUUCACAUGUCCUCCACGUGACCCUUUUCUUUUCCAUCACCCAUCAUGUUGCCACUAGCGACACAAACUCUCUGCUUUUUUUAUAUUAUGUAAUAUUGCUCAUCAAUUAUCAUUCAUUUAUUAUUUAUUUUAAGUUACUUUUUUUUUUUUUUGCUUUGACUUGGUCUUUUUGAAAACGUAACUUCCCUUGUCAAUUUAUUGUAAUACUUAUCUAUUGUAUAAGCAUAUAUAAUAAUAUGCGCUGAGUAAAAAUACGUCUAUUUUGUUUAGCGUAUAUGAAUUGUUUUUUUAAACCACGAUAUCUUCGUUAAGGUAACUAAUCUUUUGUUAAUGCUAAAUAUGUGGAACGUGAACACUUUUUUCCUAAAAUUACACAAAUUAACAAAUUAUAAAAAAACAAAUUACGGUUAAUGAGUGAGUCGUGUAGUAUUGUGACGACUUCACCUAAAGAAGUUAUGCACUAUCAACACAAUUUUUUGGAACAUUGAAAUUUUACUAUGAUGUCUGACAUUUGAACACUAAAUUUUCUUAACUUAAAUAUUUUAUUUCAUUUAUUAAGUUAUCUUAGCUUAUGAGAUCAAACAAUUCAUUUUGAAAGGAAAACUUUAUGUACUGAGAUCCCAAUUUUCCCAAGCGGUAUUUUCGAUCAAUAAAAUUUUAUUACAAAAACAAUCUAAGGCUUAUGGUGGAGAAAAUACGAUCACAUGACAACAAAUAUUGCUAAAUGCAUGAACUUAGUGUUAACGUAAGUAUGUUUAUUAUCCAUUUGUGUUGUAAUUAAGAUAACAUUUGAAAAGACAAAAACAUAGUUUGUUGAAUUGGAAUUGAAGACAUAAUCAAUGUUAAUAACAGGUCAUUAUAAUUUAGAAGAUAUAGUUGUCCUUCUUCAAAAAAUAUGGACAAAAAUAAAAGUUACAUAUCAUCUUUGUUGCACAUGAUUUCUGUAAUCUUGUUUUUCGUGGACACAACUUCUUCCUAUAAAAUCGUCACUGCACGACUUUCUACUGCUAAUAUUUUUUAAUUCUACCUAUUUUUGUGUAAUUUAUUGCAAAAACUGUACCCUUGUGAUAAAAAAACAAAACCCUUAUCUACGUAACAAAGAAAAACACCGCCAUAGGUGUAGAAAUGUACAUUAAAAAACAAAAUUAUCAAAUAAACCGAAAAAGAAACAAAAAUGUAAUUAAUAUGUUGAGUAAUGGUUACAUGUAGGGAGGAAAGUGAUAUCACAUUUAUAUUUUACAAUAAUGCAUAUACUUCAUCUUAAAAUAUAAUUAAAAUUAAUAUGAAUAUUAAACUUUAACUCGUUAAAUAAGAUGACGUAAUAAAAUAAAAUUCGGACACACUUGGUAUUAAUAAUUUCUUUGAAUAAACUUCCAGGAUUAUACACGUAAUGAAGGGCUCAAUUUAUAGGUUUGUGUGUAUAUCGGUCAAUUCCUUGAAAUAUUGAGAAAUUAAUCACAAGAUCGAGAUCAAGGAUACCUUCCAUUCAGUGAAUAGAAGUUAUUUAUGUGAUAUAAUCUUAUUUUAAAGGUAUAAUAUUAUGGUAUUUGCAAUAACUUAUAUAAAAGUUAAUUUCUGGUAUAAUUUUACUCUUUGAGAAGUUCGUUUUUCUGGUAUAAAACGUUUUUCUAUAUAAGUCAAGCACGAGAAAAAUACUAUAUGAUUUUAGCAUAAAUAAAAUGAUAAAAUAUUAUUUAUAAUUAUUUAAAUGAUCAAAAUUGUUACACCUGAAAGUAUUUUUAAUAGACUCAAAGUAAGAUUUUUUUUUAACCAGAAAGUAUAUUGUUGUAAAAAGGUAAAAUUAAAAGCACAUGUCCUAUUUAAAUAAAAAUUUUAUGUAAAUACUUAUACGAUAAGAAAAUAAAAUGGUACAAUGAAACAAACUUCUCUCACUAGCUAAAAUAAACUAACGUGUUUUAAUUUUUAAAAAAGUUAAAUAAGAGAUUUCUUUAUGUACAUUAAAUGUAUAAAUUAAUUUUUCUUUGCGUAAAAGUUUAUUUAAUAUUAAAUUUUAACUUUUUUUUUAUAAGUGCUCGUUCAUAAAUUUCUUCAAAAAUGUCCUUUACAAAAAUACGAUUGAUAGUUAUAAAUAAAUAAAUAAUACACAUUAUCACUUAAAGAAAAAUUACGAAGAAGAGUGAAUAGUAUAUGAAUUAUUAGAAAAAUCCAUAUAUAUUAUAUAAAUUUAUAGGUUAAUUAGGUUUUUAAUUUUUUAAUUUUUUAAUUUUUAACAAAAUUUAGUUAGUCUCUGAGUUGUAUGAAUUUAAUUUUUUUAAUAUUUUUUUUUCAAUAUUUAGUUGAAAAAUAUAUUUAAAAUUUUAAAUAAAUUUAAUAAAAUUUAAUUAUAAAAACUAAAUUCAGUCCUUAAUUUAAAUAAAUUUAAUAAAAUUUAGUUAAAAAAUUAAAUUUUAAUUAUUCUAAAGAUGAAAUUAUGUUAAUUUAAAAUUAAGAAAUAAAAAUAUAUUUAAUCAAAAUUUAUUGAUUUUUAUAAUAAUUGUUUUGAAACUUUAACUGAUGAUUAUUAUUUUUUUCAUUUGUUAAUAAUAUAACACAGGAGUUUAUGAUUUCAUAAAAUAAUUUUUAUGUUCUAUUUAUACAUUUAUCGAAAAAUUCGCAAUUAUAUUAUUUUUUAAAUUUUGUACUAAAAAAAAGGGAAAAAGAGUUCUGUCAUCAUUUUCACUUUUAGUAUUUUAUAUAUAGAUUUUUAAAAGAAUAACGAAUCAAUGAAAACAACUUUUUUUAAAAAAAAAAAAACAUAAUCAAAAUCAAGCAAUUGCUUAAAUUUGCAACUAUAUCCCCAAUUGAGAUGGUUUAUUGGUUGAAUGUACAAUUUGGUUUUGGAGUAUUCUUGAUGGAUUUAUCAAAGUUAAUGGCCACAUUCUCAACGGUUAGUCAAUGAUUAACUAACUUAUUUAUAAUUCUUUGAACUUGGACUAUCUAAUGACAUCAUGCAUGAAUCAUUAUCAUAACUCUCAUUUAUAGGAUUUGCAGUUAAGAAUAAGCAACCACCAUAUAUAUAAUAGAAAUCUAAUCACCAACCAAAUCUUAAACUCAGACAAUCAAAUUUCCAUCUACCUUUGGUAGAAUCACCCCAACACAUCACGUGACCAGACAUAAAGGAAUUUUGGCCACUGUAAUUAUUACAUAUUAUUACAUGUGUUCAUGUUUUUUUUUUCCUUUUUAUUAUAUAUAUUUUUUUAGAGUGUUGAGUUUAAAAAAAAAUAUUAUUCUUGAAAUUAGAGACUAGUGUUGUUAGUUAUUAGAGUAAUGUUUUGUUUAUUUGAAGAGAUUUGAGAGAGAGUGAUUGAAUGGAUUUAAGAGAAUUUGAAGAUAAUAUUUUUCUUUUUGUUUAUUUGAGUGAAUUUGAAGGUAAGUGAAAGUGGAUUUGAAAGUAAAGUUUGUGAGAAUUAAUGUAUGAUUUAAUUUCUGUGACAAAUUAAAAAAAAUUAUUUCCAAAUUCACUUUCACUUACCUCUAAAUCUACUUAAAUAAACAAAAAAAAAAACUAAGUAUAAAUUCUCUUAAAUCUAUUUAAUUACUCUUUUCGAAAACCUUUCAAGUAAACAAGGCAUAAUUGUUUUAUAUUAUUUAUUAACGUACAAGAAAAAUGUGAUGAAAUGGAUUUCUGUAGUUUUUCGUUGAAAUUCGAUAUUAAAAUUAAGUUUAGUCUAAAUUAUUGGUUUAGUUUCCAAAAUUAUUGAUAAAAAUAUGUCUCUCAUUUAUUUCAUAGAUAAAGUAUUGUAAUAGAUGAGAAGACAAAUAAAGAAAACAAAAUUCAUGGAUUUUAAAUUUCUUUAAAUGAAAUUAUCAUUACUAAGUAAUUGAAACAAGUUUAUAAAUUUUAUUACUUAAAAUUAACGUUUUUUGUUUUUGUUAUUGUCAUAAACACUCACCGAGACACUACUGAUUUUGCGACAAAGGAGCAUCUUAAAAUUGCUCGAUCUCAGUUAUCAUAAGUUUAAGAUGUGCAUAAAGUGUAUCAAUACUCAAAAAGUUUUAUUUAUUUUUUGUAAUAAUCUUCUUACGGGUCGAGUAAAAUUAAAUUGAAUAACUAUUAGUUUUAGUGUGCUACCUAUACAAUUAAAUUUAAUGUCAACAUAAACCUAUUAAUUUAGUAAAACGAAUAACUUAGCUAAAUUAAUGAAUAUUUAACCAGUUAAUUUUAAAUAAUCUAUAUCGAUAUAUAAAUUUGGUAAAAAAUUGAACAUUUGGUUAGUUUAUUUUGAGUAGAAAAAGUUUUUUUGUUUUAUAGUUUUUAUAGAACUUGAUUUCUUGUACAAUUUUUAAAACAAGCUUUUUCCAAACACGUACUCAUUCUAUCCACUUUUGUAAUAUGAAAAAGAAAAGUCGAGUUUAGUGCAUACAAAAUAAUUGAAAAAUAAAAAAUAAAAUCCUAUAGUACUCUGAUUCUAUUCCACCGAAACAAUUUAAUUGCUAAAUGCUAAUGACAUAAUACAGCCAAAAGUUAUUGCUAUCUAUGCUUGCGGUAUUGUCUGCAGUGAAAAUGAUAAGGCAAACAUCUCCAAUAUCUGAUCAGUCUUUAUCCCACAGUAUGAAUUUUUAAAAUUAAUUACUUUCCUGAAAUUUCGAAUAAUUAUAUUUUUAUCAAUCAAUUUUAUUUUUAACCUUUCAAAAAAAAAAAUCUAAAUAUUAAAGUUGAGAAAUUUAAAAUAGUUUUAAAUUUCCUAAACUUUAUAUUAUAAAAGUUUGAAUUCUAAACCUAACUUUAUAUUUAGUUUUUCAAAUAUUAUUUUUUUUUUAUUUAAAUAAAGCAUACAUUGCAAAAAUUAAUCACUAUAUCUUUUAACAAAAACAUAUGAUGGGUGUCACCGAAAAAAUAGUCUUGCCUUAAUGAAAUUCCUAAUAAAUAUAGCCUGAUAAAUAGUUUAUCAAUGAUUAGGUAAUGUCAGCUAGAAAAUAAUUUAUAACAUUCACUAAAAAAAAUAAUUUACAUCAAUAAAAAAAAAUACUCUUAUUGAUGUCAACAAAAAAUCUGCCAUUGACCAAAUAAUAGUCAUAGUACUGUCAAUCAACAAAAUCCUAAUUAAUGUUAGUCAAGAGAUAACAUUGAGUUUCAUUUUGAUGAACAUUGAUGUUAGUAAAACCGAUUAUAAAAAUGAUGUUAACACAAAAAUGCUUAAUAAUAAUAAUGAUUGAAAGAUAAUCAUGAUUAAUUUUAAAAUGAAAGAAUUAUCAUUUGACAUAAGUAAAAAAGGACGUUGAAUUAAUGAUGCAUCAAACUGAAUUGAGUUCACAAUGUUUCAAUUAAAGUCAAGUUAACGAGUUUUGAGAAAACCUAAGUGGACGAUAACUCAACUAAGAGUCAAGGAAAAAUAUAAAAAGUACCAUAACUUUGUAAGAAAAAAAAUACAUAAAGAAUUUUAAUUUUUUACUAUAAAAUUUAAAAUUGUGUAGUUAAUUUAAUUACUCUCAAACAUCAUAAAAAGUUUUUUUUUUUUUAAUUUUUCUAACAAAAUAAAAUGUUAUUGUAAAAAAAAUAAAUUUCUCUAUAAAAAAAAUUAUCUUAUUAAAAGUCUCUAUCCAAAUACGAAGUAAAUAUUGAACUUUAAAUCUUAUAAAAUUCAUUUUAGUCCAUUAAAUCUAUCGUUCAGGAAUUAAAAUUGUAUAUUUUUCAAUUUUAAAGAACAUAUAGAAAAAACCUUUUCAAAUUUAGAGGAGCAAAAUCAAAAUUGCCUCAAAUUUUAAAACUUAGAAUGUGAUCAAACAUUGAAAAAAGAAGCUAAUUUCAUAAAAUAUUUUGUUUUUAGUAAUCAUAUAAAUUAUUUUAAGUAUUUAUAUUUUUAAAGUAUGAAAUUAUUCGUUAAGAAAAAUGUUUUUUAAUAAUUUCUUUUGAUAAUUUUUUUACAACUGUUUAUGUCCGUUUCAAAUAUACAAACCAAUAAAAUAGUAACACAUAAUUUAUUUUUAAAAAACUGUUAAAAAAAUAUUAAAAUAUGAUGAUCCAUUCAUUAAUUAAUUUCGAACGGUGUAGAAAAUUUGCAGUGAUUAAUGACACGAAAGGUUGUUAUGAAUGAACAGUCCGGAAGAGUGUUAAGAUUAAGAAAAAUAAAAUUUUCACAUCUAAUUUUUUUAUAUUUUUUUUUACAUUAUCUUUUCUAUUUAUUACUAUUUUUUUUUCUUUAAAAAAUACAAAACUUUAUAUUUUUAUCACUAUUUUCUACACGAAUUUAAAAAUGUAUGAUAUUAUAUUAAAAGUCUUGAGAAGUUUUGGAGCACGAAACGAUAUUAGACAGGAUAUUGACAGGCUCCUAGAAUAACAAACCCAGCUAACUAAAAGCAAUCCUUAAUUAUAAUAAGUGGUCUAAAAAACAGUUCUGAAAGUGGUAAAGUUGAUAAACUGAAGGGUUUGUCGGCAACGAAAGGGACGAGGAAGAAAAGGAAGAGGAGCUGAAGCCAUAAUUCUAGGCACAGAGGGGCCUGGGUUUAAGAAAAUGGGAUGUUGGGCAUUCCACGAACAGCCCCUAUUCAUUUUUUUGGUCCCCAAGGACCCUUCCUGCAGGAAUUAGUUUGCUCUGUCACUUCCCCAAAUUCAUUGUUUCUCUUACCUUCAAUCCAAAUAAAGAUACAUCACCUACGUUGUCAUUCUUUAUCCAAUAAUGAUGUCUAGAAAAUAUUUAUUUAACAAUAUUUAAACAUUAUUUACGUGUCAUUUUGUGAUUGGUUUAGGGUAGUGUUUAUGAUUAUUAUUAUUAUUGAUUGUGGAAUAAUUUUGAACUAAUCACAGAAUGACACGUAAAUGAUAUUUAAAUAUUGUUAAAAAAAUGUUAUCAAAAUAUCAUUAUCCUUCUUUAUCAAUUGGACUUUCUUUUCUGACGCAUGAAAUUAUUCAGGCAGCUAGGUACACAGGACCUAACAAUGUUUAGGUCACAAUUCUUUUAUGGGAAAAAAAUAUUAAUUUGAUUGGUAGUAAUAAUUUUUUAAUUUUAAAAUAAUGUCAAGUACAUAACAUCGAAAAUGAUUGUGUAACUACGAAAAUUAAAUGACAUUAAGGAAAUAAUUUUUGUUGUUCUUUAGAAAAAAUCAAUCUGUCUAACUAAAUAAUAAUUGGAGGUUGGGGGAAGCCCCCACACAAUGCAUUAAGCUUCACCACCCAUGUCUUCUGUACAAAUGUUUUUUCUUUCUCCAUGUGGCAUUGAAAUGGUUUUAACGAAUGUAGUAAAUUUUGGAUGAGUAGCUCCUUCUUAUAAAUAAUAUCUCAUAUCAUAUCAAAUUUCAUUCAUGGUGUAUUAUGUCAUGAUUUCAUUAAAAACAUGAAAUGCACUUAACCCAAUAAUUUCAUUAUUUGUCAUGUAGUGCAUGUAAAUUAACAAGUCUAAUAAAAUUAGCAUGGAAAUUUUGCAUUCCAAUUGCAAGCAAUUAGUUGACACUAAGAUACCUAAAAAGUUACAUGUUGCUCUCAAUUUAUAGUGAUUGAUCAUUAUAGUCUUUGUUAGGCUUCCUUAGGUACUUAUCUCCGAUAUAUUUACAAAACUAAUACACUUAUGUAAGGAUGAUAAACUUCUUUUCAUUUUGCAUUUAGCCUCGUUGUGAAGUAGCUAUCAUAUAGCUAAUGGUUCUUAGAAAGGCAUCCUUCACAUAUGAAGCUUUCAUAAAUUACACAUGAUUCUCGUAAAAAUAAUGUUUGAACAAUUUAUUAUGAUAAUGGCUAAACAUGGGUUGAAAAGAUAAGAAUAUCAAGAAACAUUUAAAUUUAUAUAUCGUAUACAAAUCUCAUUUGAACUUCUUUUUGUGCAAUUAAAUGUCAUAGGAAUUUUUAAUCAAAGAUUUUAUUCAAGACCAAUGUUAUGCAUUAAUAUUAGGUUUAAUGUUUCAAUAGAUCCCUAUUUUCGUACAGAAACUCAAAUAGCUCCCUUUCUUUUUCGGUGUUUCAAUUGAGUCUUUAUUUUUGUAAAAUUGAAUCAAAUAGGACCUUUCCAUCAAAUUAAGAUGACGCCAUUAGGAAGGAUAUGCUGACAGUGUAGUUUUUUAUUACUUGGCAUUGAAAACGUGAUUGAAUUGUAUUUUUGUAUUCUUGAAUUGAAAAAUGAAAUAUACAAAAUAUACUUCAUUUUUUAAUUUAAAAAUUAAAAAAAUACAAUUCAGUCACAUUUUCAAUGCCACGUAAUAAAAAACUACACGGUCAACAUACCCUUCUUAACGGGGUUAUCUCAAUUUGACGGAAAAGCAAAAUUUGAUUCAAUUUUAAGAAAAUAAGGACUUGAUUGAGACGCCGAAAAAAAAAGACUUAUUUGAGAUUCUUAACGAAAAUAGAGACCUAUUGAGAUAAACCUUAAUAUUAUAAUAAAUGUAUAGUAAUAUUAAACAUAAGCGAAACUCAUUUUAUCUGUACUAUGUAAACAGUUACAUAAGGUGGUCACUUCUAUCUUUUGCUAUCUUUUGCUUAGAAGUGUACUCUAUUUUCUAAAAUUCUUCUCUAUUAUUAUUAUUAUUAUUAUUAUUAUUAUUAUUAUUAUUAUUAUUAUUAUUAUUAUUAUUAUUAUUAUUAUUAUUAUUAUUAUUAUUAUUAUUNNNNNNNNNNNNNNNNNNNNNNNNNNNNNNNNNNNNNNNNNNNNNNNNNNNNNNNNNNNNNNNNNNNNNNNNNNNNNNNNNNNNNNNNNNNNNNNNNNNNNNNNNNNNNNNNNNNNNNNNNNNNNNNNNNNNNNNNNNNNNNNNNNNNNNNNNNNNNNNNNNNNNNNNNNNNNNNNNNNNNNNNNNNNNNNNNNNNNNNNNNNNNNNNNNNNNNNNNNNNNNNNNNNNNNNNNNNNNNNNNNNNNNNNNNNNNNNNNNNNNNNNNNNNNNNNNNNNNNNNNNNNNNNNNNNNNNNNNNNNNNNNNNNNNNNNNNNNNNNNNNNNNNNNNNNNNNNNNNNNNNNNNNNNNNNNNNNNNNNNNNNNNNNNNNNNNNNNNNNNNNNNNNNNNNNNNNNNNNNNNNNNNNNNNNNNNNNNNNNNNNNNNNNNNNNNNNNNNNNNNNNNNNNNNNNNNNNNNNNNNNNNNNNNNNNNNNNNNNNNNNNNNNNNNNNNNNNNNNNNUUAUUAUUAUUAUUAUUAUUAUUAUUAUUAUUAUUAUUAUUAUUAUUAUUAUUAUUAUUAUUAUUAUUAUUAUUAUUAUUAUUAUUAUUAUUAUUUGUUAUUACUAUUUUUAUUAUUAUUAUCAUUAGUAUUAUUAUUAUUUAUUAUUAUUAUUAUUAUGCUUUGUUAUUAUAAUUAUUAUUAGUUAUUAUUAUUAGGGUUAAAUAUGCUUUUAUUUCCUUAAGUAUCACUUAUUUUUAGUUUUAGUCCCUACUCAAAACAUUGAUGGUAUUUGAUCAUCUUAGUUCUGAAACUAUUACAAUUAGUCCUUAAAAUUGGACGGCGUUCAAUUUUUGUAUGAUGUGGCUAACGGUGAGCCAUGUGUGUGCCACGUUUUACAAUCUCCAACAGAAACCCUAACCCUCCUCCACCAUCUUCUCCCCCACCGCCGCCAACUUCAUGCUCGCCGGCCACCACGCGCACACCGCCGAAAGGCCGCCACCACAGAAGCGACCUUAGCCCUCACCGACCACCACGAGCUCGCGCCUCCGCCAUACUCGCAUAAGGAAAGUCCUCUGUCAAUGCAUAUCACCGUCUCCUCAGCACGCCGCCGCCAUUGCGAGACCAGACGCAAGCCAACGCGCCACCGUUCAUCAUCACCAUGCCGCCAAUGCCUUUUCUCGCUCACUGUCGGCAUCCUUUUCGCACCGCAGCACCACCACCAUGGAAGCAUCUCCUUUCUCACAUUCACCAUCAAACCCCAAUCGCAAAAUGCGGUCUCCUUCCUCGCAUCUUCACAAUCAUCUUCUUCCCAGAUGCGCCACCACCUACAACCAAAAUCAGACUUGCAGAAACCAGAUUUAACACCAUGCAACCAUCACACACAGACCCAAUUCGAAGAAUCCUUCGAACCCUAAAUCGCCACUGCAAAACCCGACUUUGCCACACAGUUCUUCCAUUCAUCUGCUCGCAGGUUUCAUCCAAUUUGAAAACAAAGAUUCUAACCCCUCCAAUUGCAACAUCAGAAAAACAAAGAAGAGAACCCUAAGGAGUGCGAAACAGAGAUUUGGUGCUCUUUGGGACACAGAAGCGCGAAUCGAAAGCCAUAAAUCGAAAUCGAAAUCGAAGGUUUAAGCCCCAAAAUCGAAGAGUCGAGAAAACCCUAAGGAGUGCGAAAUAGAGAGAGAUUCUUGUUGUGGUGGUCGGAAUCGCCGUGAUGGAGUUGAUUUUACAGUGGUUAUGGAAGUUGAGGUCUGAUUGUAGUCCAUAGGAAAGAGCUCAUGGUGGCCGGUGAGAGUCGCUGGGUGGCUACCAUGGAGGAGGUAGCGGCGUAGGAGAAGGAAUUUUUCCCCUUUCCCCCAAUUCGAAACCCUAAUUUUGGGUGGGGAAGACGUGGCAGGCAGUAUACAGAGAAGACGUGGCCGUUAGCCACCUCACCAAAAAAAUUGACGUCAUCUAUUUUUAGGGACUAAACAUAUAUGUUUCCAUACUAAGAGGAUGAAAUGUCAUCAAUGUUUUAUGCAGGGACUAAAACCAAAAAUUAGUGAAACUUCAGAGACUAAAAGCAUAUUUAAUCAUUAUUAUUAUUAUUAUAAUUAUUGACGUUGUAACAUGUUUUUUUUUCAUAUAAUCUUAAGUUUAUUGCAUGUAUUUUUUACAUUGGUACUUGUUGAAUAUUUAUUAGAAGAGGGUGCCUUUUCAACACAAAUACUUAUGAAUCUCACCAACCAGUGAAGAAUGAAAAAAAUAUACAUCCUGCGAAUCAUCGCCUUCCAUCGCUUCCAAAUACCUGAAAAUGCAUAAUAUAUUAUGCAAAUCCGUCCGCUUAAAUAAUUGUGAACAGUGCAUCAUCUUGAAAUGAAUACGGCCUAAUAAGUUUAUAUUUAGAAAUUUUAAAUUAUAUCACUUAUUUACAUAUAAAUAUGUAACAUUGUUAUAUAAACAAACUAGUGUGUCAAGCUUAAUGAACUUCUUAGGUUCUAUUUUUAAUUUUUAAAAGGAGAAUAAUGUUUUAAUAAUUCUUUUUAACCAUUUUUUGACAGCAAGACAUAUUAUCAUUUUAUUAGUCUACUUGAAUUUAUUCUAAAAAAUUAUUCAAAACGGAAUAAUCGUUGAAAAGAUUUUUUUCAUUUUAAAAAUAACACUUUUUAAAGCAAAUGCCACCAUUACAUUGACUAAAACUUAGAAACUUUUUCUAAAGAAAAACUUAUCAGCUAAUUUGGUAUUCCCAGAGUUAUAAUCAAAUAAUGGAAUAUAAUUUUUUACGUUUAAAAAAUAUCGCCAGCUAAUUAAAAUUUCUUAACAACUAAGUUAACUUCAUUAAAUAUGAACGCAAUUAAUUAUCUGGACAAUUCCGCCCUAGAAAAUUUGAGGUUUCUAACGUUACAAGGAGUCAGCACAAGAAUAGUUAAGGACACGUAACGAAGCCUACAAACAUAUAAAUAAAUAUAAUACAGCACUACGGCACAUUUUCUUCAACAUGAAAAGAACUACCAUAUCAUCCUCGAUGUUACAACAAAUCCUAAAGCUAUCAGAGAGCUUCUGCGCACACAAAGACAAGAAGAAUCUAAAGGUAUUAAUGCACCAAAGCAGUCCAUUUUGACACUGAAGCUUCCCUGUUCACACUCUUUUUGUUAAGUCAAUAGCAAUCAAAGACCAACUUGGCAGAAAGAAACACUACCAUAUAGAUACAUAGCCAAAAGCUUAUGAGCAAUAAUUGUAAUAUAAUAAAUUAUAUAGGAUAGGAACCAGAUUAAUUAGCCCAGUAAGCAUAUUUCCCAAGACUUGAGAGAGGUUAUCACAACCUUUGAUCAUAUAUCUCUGCAUGAUGCAAGAGAGAUUAUUAUUAGGUCUAGACCAAAGGGUUUGUUGUUGAAGAUCCAUAGCCACUCCAUGAUCCUGAACCGUUAAGAUAUCCCAAUGACACUUUCUCAGCCUCAGAGCAAGCCUGAUCUUGCCAUUCAAGGGACAACAGCUUAGGGUUUGGCUUCACGUCAACUGAACCGUUAAGGAUGUUAUGACCUCCAUCAUAGGGCAACAUAAGUCUCUGGCAAGAGUCCAUUAUAUAACUUCCGACAUUGCUAAUGCCUCCAUCAAGGGACAUGCCCCCAAAUGCUGCACUAGAAAGACCUUGAUAAUUCAAUGGCAAUCCAUUGUAGCCACUCAUAUCACCAAGCCCAACACCACCACCACCCACACUCAUAUCACUAUUUUCAAGAACAUCCAAACUCCUAGUUGAACCCCUAAUCAUAUUCAUACCAUCCAACCCGCUUUCCAUGAAGUCAAUAUGCCCAGGGUUCUCUAGCAUCCCCAUGCUAUACUUACUAUCCAUGAAAUUAGGGUUUCCCAGUACCCCAGCAUUAGUCCCAAGUAUAUUGUUGAGGUGGGAAAACUGCACAUCCAAGAAGGAAUGUUGAAGAUCUUUGUGAUUAUGAAUAUAAGAGGGUCCUGCAGGUUGUGUUUGGUUUUGAUUAAUAGCUGGUUGGUGGUCAUUGUGUUUCUUAGUUGAAACUUUCUUGUUCUUUCUGCAACCACCUCCAACAGGAAUGUUCCUGAGAGUGCCUCCUUUGGUCCAGUACCUUCUACAUGUCUUGCAGAAAUACCUGGGCUGAGAGAGACUGUAGUUGUUGUAGUAGCAGAACUUGGUGUGUGUUGAUUCACACCUAGGGCACUUCAGGGCUUGCUCUUGUGAGGGUCUUACCCUCCUCUCUGUCAUCGGUCUCGAGCAUGGAAGCAUGUCGGCAGAUGGUGAAGAAGAAUCCACCCCACAUUCCUCGUGAAUUGUGCCCUGACAUUUUAUACAAGACAAACAAUAAUUAAUGAAUAGGAAAAUGUGCUGCGUACUGUCAAUUUUGUCUUAUUUUGGAUUCAGACAUUCUCUUUAUUCUUCUGCUAAUUCUCACUCUUCUUUCUUUCCUUGUCCGUUUCCCACUCCCCCAUUCACUUUCGUGCAGCAAACCAUUUUAAUUUACACAGAUAAUUGCAUAGUGCAACUUGACAUAUAUACACAUGCUGUUACAAGCUUCUUGGUUAACAUUUUACAAUUCUAACCAUACAUCUUGAUCAACUAAAAGCUCAAAAACUCUCGUCAAACCGUUCUAUUUCACUACUGCGGUGUGAAAUAUGAAGACUUAAUAUAAAUAACAAGUACUACUAGAGUAGGAAGGCCAAGUUAUAAUGACUACUCAUUAAUUUGCACAGAAGUACACACACAUAUAUAUAUCAGUAUGACAAUAUGGUUCUCGGGAAUUUCGAAAAGUAGAAGCAAACAUAUUCCUUUCACAGAUAUACUCCUGCAUACCUGCAGCCAUUGAUCUGAUGAAUUCAUGCAGACAUGGAGAGAGGAAAAACCCAUUUACAAGAAAAAUCCAGGAGCUGGGAGAAAUGGGAGCUUUUGUUCUGAUGAACAAAGUUUGUUACUAUCUUAAUAAGUGCCUUUGUUAGCAGUAGUGUAUGAUGAGCUUGGAACAGCGAAAGAAAAGGGUUGGCCAAGUGGAAGUGUAGUUGAAGAACUGAGGAAGGCAGUGUCGUCCGAUGAGUUUCGUUGUAUAGUGUGAUUGUGUUGUGCGACAAUGUGAGUGUUAAGUGACAGUGAAUAAGAAGGAAGAAAAAGGUGAGAGGAAUGAGUUGCGGUGAGAUAUCGUACUUUAUAGAGAGAGGAUGUGUGUGAUAAUCUCCCGUCGGUGACAAAAAAAUAGUGGGCCCUUAUAACAUGUGGGCCCACUGCUUAGGUGAGCUUGACCAGAUAAAUAUUGAGUGUGACAGUGACAGUUAGUGGUUGGUAUGGAAUGAGAUAGGCAUUAAGCAAAGUGUAGCCGUUGGAGAGGUAACUGUGAGGGGUAGAGAAGACAGACAGAAACAUAGUUGGCACUACAGAGAUGUCUGAAUGAAGUGACAGAAGCUAGGUGAGAAUAUUUGGGUCCUCGAUAAAGAACACAUACCGAAAGAGCACUCUACUUGUGGACCCCAAAAGCACUGGACCCUCUCUCCCUCCUCCCACAAGCAAGGCAUAUAUUCCCACAUUCUCCCUCCUUAAUAUUUUUCAUCUCUUUUUCCCUCCAUUUCAUGCUCUUCCUACCUACUUAUUUAUUGCCUAAAUUAUAAUCAUGUUUUUCUUAGCUUUUCAUUCAAACAUAAAAAUACAAGAAAUGAAAUAUGCAGAGUUUGAUGAUCAGAGAAAAAUUGCAGAUUUUGAUAGAACUAACAUUUCAAAUGAAUAAUUAAAGCAAGACCCUUUUCAAUUUUAGUACUGAUUAAUUAAUAUCUCAGCGUUCUACAAGGCUGCUUGUGAAUUGAAGUAGGAGAAUAGAAAAUGUUCCAAACUCACUACUUUUUCUGUUAUGUAAUAGAAUUUUGAAAUGAUGACAGCUGAAAUAAACUGAGUGUAAUGUCAUUCAAUUGAUAGCGAUAUUGUUGGACUGGGGAAGUUUUGGGGAAUAAACUGACAAACUUGUAUGUGAAGGGUGACAGCUGAACGAAGGAGAAAGGUAUAGUACUGUGGGAGUUUAUGAUAUCCACUUAUGGCAUUGGUGUGAGUGAGGAACACAAUCCAACCUAAUCUAGAGGAACCAAACCCCAAGUACAUACUGUGUGUCAGGUGAAUAAAGUGAGAGUGAGUCCACGUUACCCUCCUACACCUCAUCUCAGAUUCUUCUUGUUUUGUUGAUGCAUGAGUGAGUGAGAAUUUGUGUUUGUUGUGGAUGAAUAUGUUAUAUCUUUCAAUCAUCUAUGAAGUACAAAGAUAGAUGAAUGGAUUACUACUGUUUCAAUCAUCAGCAUGAUAUCAUUGCUCCUUGAUCUGUGUGUAUUAUAGGUCUUGUUUCUUUAUUUGCUUUUCUGUUGUGGAAUGUACAAUAAAACUUUCUAGUUUUCAGCUACUGAUGAGACCAAUGAUCAUUAGGGUUAAACAGUUAAUCAUUACAUAUUUAAUUAAUUUUGGGCUCAGUUUCUUACAUCAAGGAUGUUUAAAUUUAUUUUUAGUGUUUAAAUUUAGAUUGUAGUUGAAAUUUGUCUAUAUUUAAAUUUUAAUAUAUUUUAAUUUUUAAACUUUAAAAUGAAAUAAAUAUAAUUAUUUUAAUUCGAUGAGAUUAAAUUUUUUAACAUGUUAAAUAACUUUUAUAAUUAAUAUUUAAAGUAAUAAUUGACAUUUAAAGUAGAACGUGUCAAAAUGUUUAAAGUUUAAAAACUUUUAAAUAAGAAUAAUCUCUAAUUUCUAUAUUUCUAAGUUUAAAAAUAUAUAUUUAAACGAUGACUUUUGUACUAUUGAGAAAAAUGAGUUGGAUUAAAAGCGAGCUACUCACUUUUAAGUGAAAAUUAAAAUCGCGUGUUGAAGAGUUGUAAUAUUUUCUUUUAUAAAACAAAUAAACAAAAUAAUGUUCUAAUGUAAUCAAAUAGAUAACCUUUUUGUAGUAAUAAAAUUUAUAAAUUAUCUUAUUUACUUAUAUUUAUAUCAUUAGAAUUAUCAAAUAAGUGUAUAUAGAAUCGAGGUUGUGAAAAUAUCAUUACUCAGAAAAGAACUUACAAAAACACGAGGAGGUAUUUCUUCUUUCUCCAAACAUAUCUACUUACUAAUAAUUACAAUUAUAAAAUUUAUUGAAGAUUUGAUAAAGUCCAUAUAUUAUCAUUGACAAAUCUCACAUUCGGUAGUUGAUUAAUCUCAUUAACCAAUAUUAGAUUGAGCGUUUACAAAUUUAUCUGUUUGAUUUAUGCCAGUCAUUGAACUAAAAACGUAUGUUAAAAUUUUGAAUAGGGUAAGUAUGAAAAGGUUGAUUAAGGAUCCAAAUUACCAAGCAUAAACCCAUGCAAGCCUUGAAUCUUAAUGUAAAAUUCAAAAAAUGUGUUAUAUUUGUUUGGAAAACAAAAAAUUGAGAAACGUAUUCCUUAUUUUAUUAUCUUAAAAAUUGGAAAGAAAAAGAUAUAAUAGUGCUUGAUUAAAAUACAAAUUUUUGUCUUAGUUUUAAUUUAUAAUAAAUUUAACCGAUAAUAAAUACUCAUAAUACAAUUACCCAACACCCAAUAUAGUAACAUCGUAUUCUGGCCAACAGUUAAAGCAGUUAAAGAGACAAAAUUUGUAUAAGUAUUCUCUGGACUUAUCAGGAAGAAAAAGUGUUUUUGUUUUCCUCUUUUGUCAUGAAAAAUAUUUCAGUCGAUCAUGACAUGUCCCCAGGUAAAGGUGGGAAAGGUCCAUACGUACAUUAUUUAAUCACAUUAAAAAAACGUUUUAGACAACGAGAUCUUAUAAAAUAUUAAUGUUUAUAACUAUGUAUUUAUAUUUUAAUUUUGUUUAAGUUAAAAUGUAAUCUAAUUACAGAGUUAAAUACUUUUUAUUCUUAAAAUUCAAAACUUUUAUCAUGCGAUAUCAAUAUGUUUUUCUAUAUAAAACUUGGGUUUUAUUAAUUAAAAAUUAUGAGUAAGAUGCUUUGUCUUUCUACCAGAUGCACACAUGAUUAACCAUACUUUUCAGAUAUGGGAAAACUUAAAAACUGCCAAGAGCCUUCAAUCUCAAGCUAUCUAUAUCUUUAUGCUGCAAUUGUAUAUAUAUUUUGCUUUAUUUCUUCUCAUGCUUCUUUUUCACUUUCCUUCUUUUACUAAAAAAUGAAUGACAUUUCUGAAAGGCCAACUCGAUCUCUCCUCAAUUUAAAAGCUGAAGUUCUUCUCAAAAAUAUUUAAAGCUCAAUUUUUUUUAGGGUUGUUUUUUUCUUCCAAAAAUUUUGUAUCUUUUUUUUUUUUUCCUAUUUGAUACUCCAAUUUAUCUUAUAAUAUAUCACCCCCUUCUUUUUUGUUAACAAUAGGGUAUCAAAUAAGUAUAUAUAGUAAAACAUAUACCUCCUUUUCUAUCAUAGUCUAAAUUUCGAAACAUAGAUUUGCUCCAUCAUAGCCUUGUUUACAGCAAUUGGCUAGUAAUGAUUUCUUAUGCUUUCUUUUAACAAACAUAGACCAAUGAUAGGUUAAGAAAUCCCAUCGCCAUGAUUUUCUCACUGAUUAUGAGAAGUUUGAUUGUAUACAUCAUUAUAACGAUGAUUAACCUUCGAAAAUGACUAAUAAGCUGUGUGUGGUCCGACCAAGAUUUUGGUCAAAAAUCAGAACAGUCAUCAUCCCUCGUAAUGGGUGCAGUCAAUUUGGAAUUGUGUGGGUCAAAUUAAUCGAAAGGGUUAGCCUUAGCCCCCACCACCAUGAACCUCCUUUUCAAUACAUCCAAAGUUUUCCUUCAGAAUUGAACAGCUAUAGCAAAUGCAAAUGCAAAUGCAAAUGCAAAUGUAAAUGCAAACAAAACCGAAAUGGAAAAGCCCCAGCUCCCUUUUAUAUAUAGCACCACAUACAGCUACGAAAUAGCUCCCGAUCCCACACCCAAUUAUUUGAAACAUUAUUUUGAGUUUUGAAACACUUGUUUUAUAUAUAAUUAGUGUUAUGCAGAUGGGUUGUUUUUGGUGAUGAGUGUACGUUAUGAGGAUAUUUUUUGUGAUAUGAUGUUCGCAUGCGCGACAGUGGGAAGUGCGGCGCAGUGGAAUGAGUAAAGAAAAGAAAAGAUAAUUAGUGUGAGAUAAAAUGGUGAGUUGUUUUAUGCAGAUGGAGGAAUCUAUGGGGCAGAUGAGAGGAUCUUUAUCCAGCAGAUCACUAUAUUUUAUAAAAUCUUUCAUGUUGGUUUUCGUUUUGUCCCCUCUUUCAUUUUGUUUCUAGGCAACCAUCCAUAAUCAUUACUGUUAUAUUUCUGACAGAUUUCAGCUUUAAGGACCCACUUUCUUUUACGAGUUUCACACACAUACACUAUAUUUCUACAUCAAAUAGUUUCCCGCGUUUCUCAUCGUCUUCUGAUGUCAGGUGCAACCCAAAAUGGAAGCAGAGAAACUAACAAAGGAAACAGAAAAUAACAUGGAAUUCUUUUGUAAAGUAUCAUAUAGUAAAAAUAAUAGUCACUCCUAGUUUUUCUUUCUUUAUUUUCAUUUACAGGAGGAACAACCUUCUUAUAUGUAUACUUCUUUUUCAUAUCAUGCAUUCUUCCAAACAAUGGAGGGAUAAUGAGAUAUAUUUUCAUUUUGCUCACUGUCGGUUUACUCCUGUUAAGUGGAACCCAACAAUGUGUGGUGCUGAGAACAAAGUAAAGAAGAAAAAAUAGGGUGUUUUUUUCUAUAUUAAGACGGAGCUAUAAGGAAAAGAAAAAGCAUUUUCAAAAAUAAAACUUUUUUUUUCUUUUCAUUUUCUUUCAUCAAUUUAAAUUUAUUUUUUCUUAUUGACUUUAGUGUUCAAAAUAUAUUGAUGUAUUGCAUUACUGAAAAGAUAUAUAUAAAAAUUUACAACAUAAUUUAAAAAAAAAAAAAAAUUAUCCAUGAAAACUAACAUACGUGUUAAGUCAAACUUAACUCUUGAACCUUGAACAUAAUAUGUAAAAGAAUUUAUAACUCAAUUUUGACUCAUUUAUUUAAUUGAUUCAGUAAACUUCUCAAUUCAUUUAUAACUUUAGUUUAUUUUUGGUUUCAUAAAAAAUUAUGGAAUUACUUUUAACUUUAGUAGCUUAGAAACACAUUUCAUUAUAGUAUUUGGAUUGUUUACACUGUUUGACAUAUUUUUGUUUCAAUGUUAACUAAGAAACGUGCUUGAAACAACAAAUAAAGUUAAAAAAAAAUUGGUAAAAAAGACUAAAACCAAAGUUUUCUAAAGUUGAAAGACUAAAUUGUACCAUAGUUUGAAAAUGGACUAAAACCAAAAUCGUUCCAAAGUAUAGGAACUAAAAACAUAUUUAACCCAAAAAAAUUUUAACAAACACACACACCAUGUCAUUUAAAUAAUCAAACAUAAUUGUACAAAUUUUGAGAUUAUGUAUUUGUAUCUAAUUAAAUAGUUAUAAGUUUUGAUAAUUUGGUUAUGUUAAUAUUCCAAAGUGUAUUACUCAUUUUUAUCACAUACAAUUUUAUUAAAAAAAAACAAGAUAUAUAAAAGAAUCAUAUUAAAUUUAUGAUAAAAUUACAUUUUACAAAAUAUAGAUAAAUUAUAUUUAUUAAAAUAAAUAAAUAAAUAAAAGUAAAAUAUUAAAGUAAUUUUUUCUAUGAGUAAAAGUUAAAUUAAGUAAUUUAUCACAAUAAUGAUUUUUCUAAAAAAACAUGAAAACUUUGAACUGUAUAUUUUUAUAAAAGUAAAAAUAUUGAUUAUCAUGAUUCUCUAAUAUUCUAAUGAAACCACUCAGUAAUCUAAUAAGAAAUCAUAUAAACUAAUGUAGAAUAUUUCUCAACCAAAGUUUAUGUAAAAUCUUUCUCCAAUUUAAAACACAAAUAACUGCAUCAAUUCAUUAUAAAUAAAAGUUUACACCCCUACAAAACCUAAAAAAUUAUUCGCAUGUUCAUCUUUACUUCCUAUGAAAAUAUCAAUCCAUAUAAAUAAAAUAAGACAACCUAUGAUUGCACCGUUAAUAUGAAAUCGCACAAAAGCAACCUAGACCAAGACUUAAAGAAAUUGCGCUCAGCGUCAAAAAACUACUCCUUAUUGCCAAAGCCACUGGAAUGUGGCCUUUAAUGCAGAAAACUACCCUUCAACACCAUAUCAGUUGACAGCACACUCUAUAUUGGAUUUAAUUAUUAUUCAAACUCAUUUCAAAAGACCAAUUAGGUCUCAUUAGCAGUAUAUUUGAUUCUUAAACCUGUUUAUGAUUUAUAUUUGGACUCCAAUUGCUCAAUUGAACAUAAUUUCAAUGCUUUUAGACCAAGUUAAGUACCCAAAAUCCCAACUAACAAUUCUUGAUAUGUAAAAACUAGAUUUUUGCAAAGUAAGCUACCAACCAAGUCCUAAUUGAUUUAAGAAUAGUUCCCAAAGAUGCAGAAUGUGCCUAAGACCUUGACUUUAGAAUUUCACUACUCAAAAUCCCUAAAAAUGAAUUAAAAAAUUAUAUAAAACACAUGCUAUUAGCUAACAACCAGUUCUACAUCAGAUUCCUAUUAAUAUAUAGCUCAAACCAAUCUUAAUUGACCACACAUUUUCCCAAAUACCAAUUAUCUUAACUUUUCGCAUGUUAAAACCCCAUUUUUACCCUCAAAGCUACAUAUUUUGUCUACUUAAUACAAAUCAAAGAUCUAUAACAGCAUAGCAACUCAAAGUUUUACCUCAAACUAAUAUCUUAAACUCAUCCAAAGCAAAUUUCACCUCAGCAUAACAACUACACACCCUCAUUCAAUAAUGUUCACAUAAGCACACAACAUUUAUAAGCAAUUCAACAUACUCGAUUUCUCGAUUCAAUUUAAUAUUACAAUUCAACCACACCAUCAUCAUAUAAUUAGAGAUUAUAACUUGUCUACCAAGUAAACAUCAAUUAAACUACAUUCCUUUACCUUAAAGAGAACUACACACCUUUAAGAACGCCCAACAUUUAUUUCAAACACAGGGAACUUCUAGAACCUACAACCCGCGAAAUUGAAAUCAAAGUGAGUCCUUAUGACCAUUAACCAUCAAGAAACAAGAAAAGAAAGGUGGAUGACACAUGUGUCACCCUUAAACUAAAGAUUUUAGGAAUGGAACAUCAAAAGGAAAAAGGAACAUAAACUUACUUGUUCUAUAAAAUAAAUUGAUCAGUUAGCAACGUAUACCUUAUUAAUGUGAUCGCUUAGACACCUUUUGAUUGUUAAAGAGAUUACUCAGAAGUUAAAAAAGGUAGAAAGAAGGCAGAGAACUCAAGAGAAAAGUUUUUUUAGAAAAAAUACAAGUGUUUUAGACAAUGAGACAAAUUUAAGAAAUUUUAUUUAUAUUAUCUAAUAUUUUAACUUUAAAAUACUCAGUCUCAUUAUUUUAAAAUACUUAUCAAUUCUAGUAUUUUAUUUUUUAGAUUUUUACAAAAAUAAAUAUUCAUUAAAUACAGUAAUUUUUUAAGAAAUAUUUCGUUAUCAUGGUCUCUAAUAACAAAAUAUUAAUGAGAUUUAAACAAUCAGUGCAAAAUAAUUGACACAUCACAUAAUUAAUAAUAACAUCUAAUUACAACGACUCAACUGAAAGAUUUUAAAAUCUCAAUAGACCACAGAAAUUUAAUAAAAACUCAAUUAAAAGAUUUUCUAAAUUUAUCAUGAUCUUAAAGCAUAAUUAAGUGAAUUUACAAUUGAAUAAAUAAAAGCUCUACUUGGUGUGGGCCUAUUUUUGUUAUUGGUCCAACCAAAGCAAGAGUGGGAAAAGUAGCGUGCAAGUAAAAUGGGUUAAUACAAUUUGGGAGUUACUCCCUGUAGCUCCCCAAUUCCAACCCCCACCCCCCCAAUUUUUUUGGAUUUUUUUUAAAUACAAAAUUAAUCUUUAUGUUUUUUUAUUUUUACCGUUUUACACCUAUUUACUAAAGUUAACCUACUCUUUUACAGUCUGCCUCAGUCAAAACACACAGACUCAAAUUCCUCUCCUUCGUAUUCCCACCCCCACCCCCACCAAAGCUUUUGAAACGCUCCUCCUCCAAACGCUCUCUGCAACUCUCACUCUCCCAUUUAUACGUUAAAAAUAUAUUUAAAAAUAAUACAUCAAAACAUAUAAAUUUCAUUAUUAAAAUAUCUGAAAAUUAAUAUAAAAAGUAAACUAAUAAAACAAAUCUUAAAAAUGGAAUGGGGGGUGGGGGUUAGAAUUGGGGAGGUACAGGGAGUAACCCCCAAACUAUGACCUGCUAGUUUUGGGUCCCUAUUAAAACAUCAUUGGGCCAACUACAUAAAACCCAAGUUGAAACUCAAACUGCUUUACGUGUUCUGUUUCAAUAGAUUUAUGACAUCAAACAUGAUCACAUAGCUUAGGUUCAAUUCAAAUCCCAAUAACUCAACACAAGAAUAGGGUAAGAGAUACGUAUUUUCUUCAAAAGAUACGUGUUUGAAUCUUUAAUAGAGAACUAAAAUUCAACGAAAUAACGUUGAGUUGUUGAAAUUCACCCUACUCAUAUACAUUUCUUAAUCAUUCACUUUCGAUCAUAAUAUGACAACCCAGAAACUUUUUCUUCCUGUAAUCCCUUUAUGCUUAGGAAAAUAAAAUUAAAAAUAGGUGAAUAAGAUGCCAUUGUAAUUUUUAGAUAGAAAAGGCAUAUAUACUCUUGGAUCACAUUAAGCAAUUAACCAAAUACGUAGUUUAGAAAACAUAAGGGGUUCCUUUUUUUCAAGACAUUAGAAUAUAUUCCUUAUUCAGUGUAAAUAUGACAAACCUUGCACUAUGAGUUAUACACCCAUACAUCUCACCUUCUACCUAAUUAAAUUCUCUUUUUUUCUUUUCAAAAAAGAGAAUUUAUCGUAAAGAAAGUGAUAGUGGACGAGAUAAAGAUAUUCUCAUAAAAAAUAAAAUAAAAGGAAAAAAAAGGAUCAAUAACCAAAUUCCAAGGAGAUUAUGAUUUUUCUCAAUGGGUAGAUUUCAAUAUUGACUUCUCCAAUGAUGAUUCUCCUAAACCAGAAUUUUAAAAACGUCAACCAAAACGACCCAAAAACUAUCCAGCCCAAUACAUCAAAGUUGAAAAAAAUUAAAGACAAGAAAGAAAAUGAUUUGAUUGAAUAGUAGCUAUAAUAAAAUUAAAAUGUUGUAUUUUUUGUGGAUUUUUUUUCAUCAUUCCAUUAUUAUUUCAAACAGAGUGAAUGCAGUGUGUUCCUCUUUUGCAAGAUUUCCUUCUUCUCUUCCUUACCAAGUCUUUAAAACUCAAUCACAUCACGUUGCCUUUGUUUCUAGUAUUUUCAUACUAAGCAUUCUCUCUAUCCGAUUACUCUUAAGAAAUUAAACCUUUGCAACUAUCUACUUUAUACAUCAUGAAAGCGAUACCCAAUUAAAAUAAAAUAACUUCAAAACGUUGAGAAAACUAUAAAAAUUAAGAAAACAUAAAAAAAAAAUGUAACGAUGCUAAGGUACGGAGAUAUUUAAAUUAAUGAGUGUUUAAAAGGGGAAAGCUGCAUCGUCAGCAUGGAAAUAAAAUAAUAAGUUUGACAUAUAAUAUAAUGAAUUAAUAAAUAAAUAAAUAAAAAAGUAUGGAAAGUUUGACUAAUGCCUUAACGCCCAAGGAUGUAAUGUAGGUAUAGGUAAAGAAAGCGAAAUAAAAAAGAAAGAGGGGUUUAGAUGAUGAAUACUAAGGUCGGUUGUUAAAAUUUUGAUGUGGUAUUAGCCAUGUUCUUCCACCGCCUUCACCCUAACCUCUCUUUUCUUCCUCUGCCGGUUACCGUUACUCUAACACACGAUCCUCGUGUUCCUCUUUUCUUCAACGCCAAGUUUUCUCUAUCUAUAAACAUCACCUACAGAUUCUGCCACCAACUCUUUUAAUUUCCCCAAAUUCUUUCAUUCCUUCCUCUAUUCCCAAUUUCAAUUCCCCUUCUCUUCUCUCUGCAUUAUGGACAGACCCAUCCACCACUCAUCGGACACGCCUACUUAUGUUUCGGAUGAUGAAUCAGUCGUUUCUGAUUGCGAGAGCGGGGUUUCAGGCGACGAGGGCACGUUUUCCGGAGCCUUUCUGCCGGCGCCCCAAGACGCCCUUCGUGUCCGGACUAGAUUUGUCCGGAGCUUGCUCCUUAACGGAUUGAUGCCCGAGGUCUUGUCGAUUGCCAAGAACGCGCAUUCCUCCGUCAUGGCGCGUGCGCGUGCUCAGUGCUUUCAGAUUUUUGCUCGUGCGGUGGCGGAAUUGCACGAGGGUCGUGCUAACGUCAGGUUCGCUUGGUACGGUGCGUCCGGUAAGGAAGAGAUAGCUGAUAUCGCCCAACAUGGUUUUGGCCACGCGCACUGUAACGGCCUGCGUCUCUCUCCGCUGGAUUCCCCACUCCAAAGGCACGCGUGUUUUCACUGUUCCAUUAAUAUUUUUUUUUUUUCAUUUAAUUUCAUUGUUGUGUGUUUUAUAAUAUUGGUUUCUGAAUAUGAAAGUUUUCUGAAUUUUGCUAUGUUUUUGCGUGUGCGAAUGCAGUGUCAAGAGCUCCGGUGUAGACAGUGACGGCGUGAGGUACUUGUUGUUGUGUAGCGUUAUAUUGGGGAAGACGGAGGUGGUACCACGUGGCUCCAAUCAACGACGUCCGAGUUCUGAAGAGUACGAUUCUGGGGUGGACGAUCUUUCGGCUCCCAAGGAGUAUGUUAUUUGGUCUAACCGGAUCAACACUCAUGUUUUGCCCGAAUAUGUUUUGAGUUUCACGCUUCCUUCCUUGAAAGGUUUGUCUUUGGAGUUCUUAUCGUGGUGCUUGACUUUGUCAGUUUUGUGACUGAUUCCUGAUGUUGUUCUGGAACUCUUUGUGUGCUUGAUUUUGUAGGGAAUGCGAAUAUUGGGGGACCUUUGAGGCCCUCUUCGCCAUGGAUGCCAUUCCCAGCUUUGAUUUCGGUGCUUUCGAAGAUUUUGCCUGCAGAUCAAGUUGCCAUCAUUGUCAAGAUACGCAAAGAUUAUACAGUAAGUGCUUUUAGAGUUUGAUUCCGUGGCUAGCUAGUUUUUUCUUAGCUGAAAUGGUUAUAAAUUGAGCAUAUUAGUCAACAGCACACUGUAGCAACCGUAUAGCAGGAUAGGAUAGUUGAGUGAAGUGCCCAUCGAUCGUUUUAGGAUUCUAAUAACAGCACUUUUCUAUACAAGCCACAAUGUUGCAACCGCCACCAAAACUAGUGGCUUUUGGCGCGCCAUAGCAAUGCUAUCUUGAUGUAGCCUUAAAAAUCCAUUUUACCCUUUAAAGAUAUUUUUCUGGGUUUAUUUGGGUAAAAUAUUCUUCAAAAGUAAAUAAAAAAACAUCUGUGCCUCUGUUUGACAUCUAGACCUUCACACAUCAUAGGACUAUUUUUUAUCCAAGUUUCGAACUUUCUUCUUCCUACUCCUUUCACUUCACGCCAAAUUUUCUUUUUUCUAUUAAUUUCACCUGUCAUCUUACCUUUUUUUUACUUCAUUGCUAUGUUGUUCUGAGAGAUUGAUGGUGACAGUGUGUUUUGCAUAAACUGUGACUUACUAAUUAUCAUGAAUUUCCUUAAUUUUGGAUUUAUUUUUUGUGUGAUUUGUUACGGAGUUUAUAAUUAUGUGUAAAGUAAUUAUUUUAGUUAGUAUUAUAAUGUCUAAAAUGGUAUUCAUCCCGCGUACUGCUAUCUUGCUAUAUUCCAGAGUUAGCCAUUGCACUCUAUUUUGUGUAAUCGAUACAUAUGAUAUUGAGUGAGUUUUUUUUUCUGCUUUGCAGGAAUUGAAAAUUUCUCGGCAUGAGAUGAUACAGAGAGUGAGAAAUAUAGCAAGUGACAAAUUGCUAGUUUCCAUCAUCAGAUCUUUCAGAGCCAAGGUACAUCUGUCCUAUCCUCUUUGUGAUGAUAUGAUCUUCCUAAGUUUAAAGAAUGUCUGUCGUGGCAGAUUUAUUUGUCUAGGAUGUUAAAAACAUUGAACAUAAUGGUCUUGUUGUGAAUAAAGUUAGUAAUACUCAUUGUGCUAAUUACGCCAAGACGACAUCUCGCAUUAUGUUUUCUGAACGCUUUGAAAUUAUAAAGUAUUCACUUGGUUCGUACAAAAUUAUCUUUGAACUAUUAUAAACCAACUGUAAGUUGUAGAAAGAGAUCAUCAUGAAUGACUAAAAUUUUCUUCAAUUAAGGUAUCAAAAGGCUGGACCGACAAAGUUGUCCAACAUCAUUGUUAAAUGAUGAGUUGCUUGAAUGUAUGAUUAAAUUUAUUCGACACAAUCACUUUCCAGUGGCGAUGAAUGAGAUUAUAUACUUAAAACACCCUCCUUUGGAAAGAAAGAUAAAACUGAUUCAAAAUUGGUCCCGUUGAUUCUGUUGUCUUCUUUUAAUUAUGUGUAUGAAAUAUUGUCUGUACUGUUAUUGUUAAGAACAAGAGCUAGCCCGUAUUUUAGGCUAUUGAAGUGCGAGAGUAAUAUAUCAUUUACAGUGAUAAAAUCUAACUUGGCUUCGAAAUCGCGUAAUUUAUAUGAUGCCUCUUUACAGUAUGAACUAGAUAGUUUUCGUGUCUUAUCUUAUUUCGGUCAUGAAUAGGUUGCUAACCUACCUUGCUGAAUAUGUUUUUUCAGAAAACACCAGCAAGCUUUAAAGCAAACAAGGGGAAACAAGGGCAAGGGGAAAGAAGAGCAAGGGGACAGCCAGUAGCAUGAACGCCAUGAUUGUUCAUAUGAGUUCUAUUAGCUAUUACACGAAGUGAAUAGAAGAAUACUUGAAGAAACACGAUGCUCGUAAUACUAACCAAACUUACAUUGAGGUGGGAAAGUGAAACUACGGAGUAAGAAGUAGAGCAUAAUUUUUUAGACCUUUUAAUUUGCUUCUAGGAUGAUAUACUCAUAUUCUGGGAUAUAGGUGAUUCUUUUUCUUUCUAGCUAGUUACAGUUACUGGUUGAAAUAAAUAUACCUUUACCAUGGUGGCUGCAAUUUGCCGACUUCAAGUGUUCCUUUAUCUAUGCUCAUUGGCUAUACGUACACCGGAGUUCUUUGAAGUAGUUUGAUAAACUCUGAAAAAUCAAAUCAAGAGAUUGUUUAUUUUGGGUUUAAUGCGUACAUCCAAAUUGUUUCGCGUCGCACAUCUGUUUCCAUGAAUGACCUCGUAUACUUGAAGUAGCCAACUCAAAUUCAAAAGUCUUUGAUUGGAAUUGUGGUUCCCUGGGAUAUUAAUGGAGUAAAAGGAUGGAUUGGAUUAUGUUGGGGUAAAAAAUUGAACUGAUGAAAUAUAAUUGUUUUAGUGUAGUAAGUCAGUUCAUCUUGUUAAAUUGUCAUUUUAUCCUAUCCUCAUUAUAGUUAUUAUAUUCAUAAAUUUAGUAUUUCUUCGUUCUCCACUCCCAUAUGGGUGGUGGUCCUGUGCAUGGCAAGUUGCAUGAAAAUUUAUGGAGUCUUUGGUACUUGGUAGAGGAUUGAGAAAGGAAUCAAAAGGGGUGUACUAAUGUUUAGAGGGCUUCCGAAAGGCAUUCUUGAAAAGUCAAAAUGUGUGGCUUAGUUACUUGGACAAGAAGGAAAAAAAAAUAAUAAUAGUAAGAUUGUAAUGUAAAGUCAUUAGCUAAUGGUAAUGGACUUUUGAUGUGGGUUUGACCAAAUUUCCGAAAGCACCAAAAUCAAAGUUGGAACCGAAAUCUGAAUCGAAGAAUAGUGUAGAACUCUCCAUUUUUUUUUUGUUUUUAUUUGCCUGACUAAAUAAUGGUUUUAAUUUUGGACGUUUUUUCUAUAAAUUGAUUGAAUUGGAGUCUCGUGAGGCACGACAGCUUUUCGGCCAAACACGCAUGGCUCAAGGCAAAAUUUUAUUGGCACCUCUCUCUUUUUUUUCUUUUAUCUCGCUCUUUUUUUAUAAAAGUAUUCUUUCUGAAAAUUAAUUUCAGAAUGUGUAUUUAGAAAUUUGUAACUUCAUUUCAUAAUUUGGCUUAAGAAUGUUGUAGAAAUAAAAUUUUAGGAUUUAUAAGAUUAAUCAUAUGUUAAAUAUUAGUUUACAUAACUUUUUGAGGUUAAUUAUUAAGUUUCAUAAAUAUUUUUUUUGUUGAAUAGUUUCAUUACUUUUAUGAUUUGAUAAAUAAUAAGAAAGCAAAGUACCAGUCAAAUAAAAAUGGGUGAUGUAAAAGUACAAAGAAGUUCAACUUAGCUCACAUCAAACAAAAAUAAAAUGAAAAUACAAAAUGGUCAUUUACAUAUCUUUGCAAAAAUGUUGGUUUAAUUUUUAAGAUUAAAAUUUUCGGAGAUCUAACUUAUUUUCUAAGUUUUGAGAUUGUUAAGACUAUAAAAAGCUUCAUUUAUUUCAAAAAAAUUAUACUUUAGAUAUAUUACAUGAAAGUAGUAUGUUUGUUUCAUCUCCUUUUAAUAUUCUUACGAACUUCUCUGUCAAGUUGUUUGGAGAUGGAGAAGCAUUUGAAAAUAAAAAGCUUAUUGGAAAAGUUAUUUACUUAACCAACACAAAACCCAAUAUCAUAUAUAUAUGUCAUGAAAAACCUAAACCUAAGUUAACAUGUUUCAUUCCUAUUAGUGUUGAUGGAAGUCUCACAUCGACUAGAGAUAAGACUAUUUAAAUAUAUAUAUAUAAGUGUGUGCAAACUUUAUCCUAUAAAUUGGUGUUGUGGAGUUGAGUUAUAUCAUUUUUAUCUUAGCUUUUUCUUAUUUAAUCCUUCUCUUGUAACCUAAAUGAUUAUUACGGAUUUAAUAAUAUUCUUCUCUAUUUUUUUCUCAUUUACUUUCUUUUAUUUUCAACGCUCUAUUUUAUUUUAUUUUUCACGAAUAAUUUUCUUCCGGACAGUAUCAUUAAGUGUGCAUAAUGCUACCUAUAAUAUACAAGAAUGCACAAGUGAUCACAUUUCCCAAUAAUAAGUAUAUUUAUCAAAAGAUAAAUUAGAGACCAUACAACAAUGAAAAUUAAAGUAUAUUCUACAUGAAGAAAAAACAACAUCCUAUUACUUCAAGUCCAAAACGAUUUUUCUCAAAUAGUUUUUUUACUUGAUAACUAAACGUGUUAAAAUUAAGUGAAACUUAAUAAAAAUAAUUUUAUCUCAAUAGGCAACAUGUUAAGUUGAAGUAUAACCUAAUUUAACUAAGAUGAGAAAAUAUAAUUGUAGUUUUUGCUAAUAAAAAGAUGACAUCGUAUUAUAGGUUUAAUUGUUUGGAUACUUUCGAGACUUUUAUAAUUUAUAUUUUAAUAUAAUUAUAAUUUUGAUUAAAUCAAACAUAUUUUUUUUUAAUUUUUGGAUGGUUUAACAAUAAUUUGAUAAUAGACUCAAAUGUAAUCUUAAGUGAAAGAAUAAAGAUUAAAAAGUUAAACAUUGUAUAAGAAAUAAUACUUCCAAAUCUAUUAUCUUAAUGUUUUAGAUAGACAAUAGUAUAUUAAUUUUUCUAUAUAAUUUAGUUUCGUGUUGUGUCUUUAAUGAUUUAUCUUGUGUUGUUAAAAUGAAAAACAACACUAAUAAUAUUCAUUCAUGAUAAAUGAAGGACCUAUCAAUGUGAAUGGAAAAUAUCAACCACUUAUACUAUAAUUUAAUCUUAAUUUUAAUUAGAGUGAGAUUUCAAACAUUGGAUAUAUAUUAAAGAUCUUAAUAUGUCUUUUGUUAACAAAACUAAUAUAUAUUUUUUAUAAUGUAAGUUUUAUAAUUAUGGAUUGUUAAUAUUCAAAUACAUUUUUGCUAUAUUAUUUUUAAAUUUUUUUUCUACUAUUAAGUCUUGCCAACAUAUUACUUUGAUGGAUUUUAAAAUUAAUUUAAUAAAAUUUUAUAAUUUUUUGUCUUUAAGGCUCAAAAUUUUAAAUAAAAAAUCUAAAUUUAUAAUUUAAAAUCGUUAUUUUAUUAUAUGAAUAUGUUUUAAUAAAUUAUUUUAUGAAAAUUAAAUCUUAAAUUCAAUAAUACAUAUAUUCUUAAAUUCAUAACUUUUAUAAAGUACCAACAAAAUAACUUAAUCAAACGAUUUAGUAAGUAAACGGCAUCAAGUUAUUUGACUCCACAAGUUAGAAGUAUGCUGUGGAUCAUUAAAUAAUUAAGCAAUCUUAUCGCCAGGAUAAGAAAAGAUAAGAAAAUUUAAAUGUUUCAUUAUAUAUAACUAUAGUACAAUUUUACUAAAUUGCUAUAAUAAUAAAAUGAAAUUUGUAUCUACUUAUGUAUUAUUGUUUAAUUAUAUUUUUAAUUAUUGUAAAUUUUUAACUAUUUUUCUCAGAUUAAAAAUAAGUAUAAAAGUAAAAGAAAUUUUAUUAGCACAUGACGGAGUAAAUCUAAGUCAGAAUAAAAUUAAUAUAUUUUGUUAACAUCUUGAACCUCUUCUUUUGUUUUUAAUAUAUGAUAUUUAUAUUUUAUCUAUUUUAAUUGGAUAACAAAGUAUAUUGCAUUGACUAAUAAAAAUAUUCGUAUCUAUUUAAAUACAUACGUUUUUUCUUUAAUCUAAAGUAUAAAAACUAUAAUAAAAUAAAAUUGAAAAUUACCAUUAGAUGAACCAAAAUUAAUUUAAUAAUCUAUACUAUUAUAUAAAAAUUACUUUUUGUAAUUCAAAUAAAUAUUUAUAGAAAAAUAUUUAUUUAUAUAAUAAAAGUUUAUACAAAUUAUUUUUUAUUAUAAUUAUUUUUAAUAAAAACAUCUGCUAAUUUGAAAAAAUUAUAAUAAAAACAACACAUCUGCUAAUUUGAAAAAAUUAUAAUAAAAAAUAAUUUUAUUAUAUUUUCGAGUUCUGGCUAAAUUGGAUUUGAAAAAAUUGUAUUUUUUUAUGCAAGUUAGAUUUCAAUCCGGCUCAUGCAUAUUGAACUCAUGUCAAUCCGGUUCAUGCAGAUUGAACUCGUGAUGGGUCGGGUUGGCCCACCAACCCACCUACUUUAUUUUAUUUUAUUAAAAUUUAAUUUUAAUUUUAUAGAAAAAUAUUUAUUAUUUUUUUUGCUUGAAAUAAUUAUUUAAGUUUCCUGUUUUCAAAAUUAAUUAAACACAAGAGUGAAAUUUAGAAGUGAAAUUUUUAUGAUUUAAAUUAAAGAAAGUUUAUAAUUUUUUAUUUAAACAAAUUGUAUUUAAAUGAGUUAGUGAGUCAACUUGUAUGGGUUGGGUCAGGUUCGAAUUUUUUUGGCUCGUUAAUAAAUGAGUCAGGUUGAGUUGACUCACUGAGCGACACAUCCAUAGUGAGCCGGACCAAGUCGGACCAGAUUACCCGUUUUGACAACUCUAAUAAUGGAAUAGCAUAAUCACCCUCUUAUUAUUUUAUUUGUGUAAAAAAAGUAAUAUAAUAUUAAAGUAAUGGACCAUUAAUCAAAAUUUAGUGAUAAUUAAUAUAUUAUAUCUAACAGUGAAAAUAUUAUAUAUAUAUAUAUAUAUAUAAUAUAGAGAAAUUACAAUUUUAAAAUAUAAUACUAAAUAAAUUGAUAUUAAUAAUUUAAAAUAAAUAUAAAUAUAUGAUAAACUUGUAGAUAGUUAUUUUAAUGAAUAGCUAAUUUGAAAAGGUUAAAAAUAUACGUACAUAUAUGUCCUGCAUUCAAAACCCAACUUUAUUUGUCUUCUCUGCUUAUAAACCAAUACACAUCAAUUUAUUUGAAUCAUCCGCAAUUAAAAAAAGAAAAAGAAAAAAACUUAAUCAAAUUGAGCAUGCCAUUUGUCGAGUAAUGCAAUAAUUUACUAAAUAAAACGUGCAUUAUUUUUAAAUUAAAAAAUGUUAAUUGUAAACCAUUACAUGUUUCUUAUAUUAUAAUAAUUUUUUAAGGAAAAAAAUGGUUUUGUUCUUAUCUAUGAUUUUUAAUAAACUAUAUUUUAAGUAGUGAAUGUUAUUUAUGUGAGUAAUAAAACAACGUCCUGAGUUAACAAUUAAACAAACUCUUAAAUAAGUAAUAAGUUAUUUUAGUCCAUAAUCAAAUAAUCCCCGAAUUAAAUGUUAGAAGUCAUUUGAAUGAAUAAUAAAUCAGCUUUAUUAAACAGUUGACGUUAUUUCAACGAGGAAUCAAAUAAUCUCAAUGUCAUUUUCUGUGAUUAAUAUAUAUUAUCUUAACAAUCAGUAGACAAACUGAGCAAGUACAAAGUACAUUAAACGAGGUAAAUUGGAAUUGAAAUAGGUUGUUGUGAAAUUUUUGAGUGAGAAAAUGAUAUGAUAUGGAAAAGAGUUUGAGAUUUAUCAAAAUUAUCGUAUGAAUUACUAAUUCGGGUAUAAAUUGUUAUAUGGAUUAAGUAUGUUUUUAGUCGUUAUAUUAUCAAGUGAUUUUGCUUUUAGUCCUUCUUUUAAAAUAAGAUAUAUUUUAAUCCUUUUUUUAAAAAAAAUUUUGAUUUUAGUCAUCCAAAACAAGCAGCGUUAAAAAAAGUUGAUCUGGCUAAUGGUACUAUGCCACAUAUCUAUUUUUUUUCUAACAUCUUUUCCAACUUUUCUCCCUCCCUCUCCCUCUGACUCGUUCCUUACAUCUUCAUCCCUCUACCACCAAACUUCAACUCUCCUUCUCUCACCAAAAAAAUAUAUCCAUAUGUUGGCGACGUUUUAUUGCAGCUAUUGUCUCAAAAGACUCAAGCAAAGCCUUGUACACUAUCCCAAAAGACCCAUUCCAAAUUACCCUUGAAGCAUGAAACCCCUCAGUGGCCAAAACCUUUCUUCUUCCUCAAACAUACGAAGAAGAUGAAGUUGGUGGAGAGAGAGAAAGAAGGGGUGGUUGAAGAAGAGGGUGCCGAAGGAAGCGACCAUGGAGGGGGUGUUUCAUUAGUCCUCGACUUUGACAAUGAUGGUGGGCUUCCUGGUAGAUUGUUUCACAAUUCGCAUUCGCGAUUUUGGUUUGCUUAUGGGAAUAGAUUGAUGGCGGCGUGAACUAGUUUCACCUGAUGUCACGGUCGUUGUUCUGGUUUUUAAUUCGCAGGGUUUGAGACGCGAGGAUGGAGCGAAGGAGACAAACUCAAGGUGUACCAGUGACAACGACGCCUGGUGGCGUGACGAAGGUUGAUGGAUGAACCUGAUUUGGAGGUUCUCUCUACUUUGAAGGCGUGUUGGAUCUGAAUCGCAAGAGACAUGAUUGUAGCAAAGGUGCUUCGGCAACGUCAAUGGCUGCCAUGGGGUUCGUUGUUUCCUCAUUGCAGGUUGUGCGAUGACGAGAGAGGACAAUCCCGAUGAUGAUGCAACAGGGGAGCAGUGGCAUUGUGGCGAUUUCAGUUGUGAGCAACAAUGUUGAUGGAAAUCCUCGUCGGCGAUGGUGGUGGUGGAAAUCCAGCCGCAAGAAUUGUGUGUUGUAGGCGAGAAAGAGGCAGAAAAUGUGAGAAACACUGACUCAACGUAAGAAAAAAAAAUCGUAUCAGUCUACUGUUAACCACAUCAGCUGAUUUUUAAUAGUGUUAGCUUUUGAGGACUAAAAUCAAAAUUUCUUUUACAAAGAAGGAUUAACUUACUUUAAAAAAGGGAUUAAAAACCAAAACCUCUUAAUAAUAUAAAAAGUUAAAAACAUAUUUAACCUUUAUAUAUAUAUAUAUAUAUAUAUAUAUAUAUAUAUAUAUAUAUAUUUAUAUAUAUAUAUAUAUUACAAAAUAUUUAUAUAUUUAAAGAUGUGAAUGAAAGUAAUUUUAAUAUUAUACUAAAAGAUAUUAUGUCAAUCUUUACUAAACUAAAUAAAUUAUAUAUAUUUUAAUAAAAUUUAUAUUUAAAUUCAUUAUUUUCAUUAAAUAAAAUACUUUAUAUUUUAAUAAAUUUUUAUGAGAAUAUUCGAGAUCAUUCUUCAACUUUCGAUACUCAAUCAGAUAAAGUUUAAAUGUUUUUUACAGGGGACUUUAACGUAAUUUUCCUCAAAAAGAAUAAAUUUAUACUACAUGCAAUAAACCAAAGAGGCUCGUAAAACAAUCAGAACUUAAUAAUGGAUUAAUUUAGGGUGGCGGAAAGUAUAGAAGUUAGACCAUUUUUUGAACUCCACAAACUAAGCUUUGGAACUAGGAGCCCGCUACCCCCAAGUCCACAUUAAUUCAUUUUCAAUACAAAUAACAGAAAAAUUAAAAAUAAGAAUGAAUAGGAUAAAAUUAUUAUUUAUUUAUAUCAAUGAAAACAAGAAAGCACAUUAUAUCAUAAACGUUGUAACAGUAUAUAAAUUAAUUUAUUGCAAAUAUAAAAAUUGAUAUUCAGGUUUCCUUCUCAAGUAAAAAUAAAUAAUAGAAUAAUAAAACAAAAGUUAAAGAUAUAAAAUUAAAUUAUUUGAAGUAUUUCGAAUCUACACGAAAAUAAUAGGAAAAGAAAAGCGAAAAUGAAGUGGCAUAAAAUAAGCAGAGAGUGAGCAGCGGUUCCACUCCCUUGUCUAUAUAUAGCAUCUCAGAGCCUUUACACACUUUCCAUAGUUUCUACCAAACUCCCAUCUCUGUUUUUGUAUCCUUCUGAAACAGAAUAAUACACAAAUUCUUGAAUGAUGCAGACAGAGCCAACGUCUUCUCCAAGUUUCAGUGCUCACUCUUCCGAUUCUUUCUUUCACAUCGCUACUAGAGUUGUCCGCGAACACCGCAGCGACACCCGCGACACUCUUUGCCAACAAAACGACGACGCUGACCCGGUCGAUGACUUCGAGUUCUCUUUCGUUUUCGGUCACACGGACGCCUCUCCUGCCUCCGCCGACGACAUUUUCUGCAACGGCCAAAUCAGACCUUUCUACCCUCCCUUCCACCAUGACCCUCCGCCGCCUCACUCUUCCGUUACGUCUCUUCCCCUUGAAACCACACGUCGUCCGCGUCUGCCUUUGAAGACACUGAUGUUGGAGGAGCGAGAGAUGGUGAACGGCAGCAACGAUCUCGAAGGCGUGGCUGAAGGAACGUACUGUGUGUGGACCCCGCCCUGCAAGAAGACAACCGCAUCGCCCAAGCGGUGGAGGUUUCGGGACCUUGUGCCUCGGAGUCACAAUUGUGGUCAGAAGGACUCGCUUCUUUUUGUCGGUCCCUCUAAGAGGACCAGCAAGGUGGUGCCUAAGCAUGCCUCCGCCCAAAACAGUGGUGGCGCCGCCGCAAAGCUGGUCGGAUUUUUCACAAACAAUGGACUUGGUCGGAAUAAUUUUCAACCCUCAAGCUAGUACAGAUUGAAGUGGUUUGGUAACUUUGUACUUAAUCUGAUCAAUAAUUAACCUAGUUUUUUAUUACAGAAAAAAAGAGAGGUAAGGAUGGCUUAACAUUUCAUAGAGAUAAAAAUGAUCUUAUAAUAAUAACUUAAUGUCUAUAAUUGGGGAAAUGAUUACCUCAUUUCAUAGAUUUUAUAGUAUGCAUAUUGUAAAAGGGAGAGUGAGAUUUAGCUUUUUGUAGCGUAGAUAUGGCGGAGGUGGAGAAGUUGGCAGUGAGAGAGUGUGUGGGUCUCACGCGGCAUAGAGUUGGAGUAGGAAAAAGUUUGGAAGUGUUUAUGGAGUGAGAUUUAAUUUGACAUUUAGCGAACAUGUCAUUAUCAUUUGCUUUUUUAACACAUUGGAGGGAUGAAGGCUAAAUAGAAGGAGAAAAAGUAUCUCUUUUUUUCUUCUCCAUUUCCACCUCUACUUGACGCUCCAAUCUCUCCAACACUUCAUUCCUUUCGCAUACCCCAUUAUACGUACCAAAAUUCUUAAAUCACAAUUAAUAAUUAAUAAAUAUAUUAAAUCAUAAUUAUAGUAGUAGGGUGUUUAAAACAAAUAACACAAUAUAACGAUUUUAAUAGUUUAAAUUAGUUUUUUUAUUAUAAAAAAAUAAAACAAACUACCCUACUAAAAAUACAAACCUACAUUAAAUGAGUGAUGGGCUAGUACGCAGGUUUGCCAAACUUUACCCAUUUUAGUGUUGGCAUAAAAUUUAGAAUUAAAUAUAAUUUUUAUCCUACAUUUUGCAAAAUCCAAAAUUUUAGUACCAAACUAUUUUCUUCAAAU